GCCACUUCUCACUUGCUUCAUCAUCGUUUCAUAGAAAUGUAAAGGGAAAUCAAAGGAGGUGUUGGUAUGCGUGUGGUGUAAUAUUGGAUAUGGGCAGGACGGAUAGAACGGCUGAAACUUAAUUUGCUAAGACACGAUCCUUUUUGUGGAUAAGUCGGGGUGAGUACAGCUUUGAGUUGAUUUCGCUGACUCCAGCAUUUGGAUUAUUAAGAGAAAGGCUUGAGUUGAUCUCGCUGGCAAGUAUUGGAGUCAGAGAGCUGUAUAGGGGAUCAGUUUCCAUAUUUAUAUACACUGACGCGACACACAGUUAUGAUGCUAAUUGGAAGGG
rnacentral:misc_RNA from 1 species